GAUGAACGCUGGCGGCGUGCCUAAUACAUGCAAGUCGAACGAAAAGACGAUGAGCUUUUUCCCUUAACGUUAGCGAGGGACGGGCGAGUGAGACGUGGAUAACAUACCUCUUUUUCUGGGAUAAUUUCGGGAAACCGCUUAUACUAACAGCUCAUACAUUGUACCGGAUGGAUCAAUAGUGCAUGAGGGCUUUGCCGUCUCUAUUAGAUGAUUUCGCGCCGCAUUAGCUAGUUGGUAAGGUAACGGCUUACCAAGGCGACGAUGCGUAGCCGACCUGAGAGGAUGAUCAGCCACACUGGAACUGAGACACGGUCCAGACUCCUACGGGAGGCAGCAGUAGGGAAUCUUCGACAAUGGGCGAAAGCCUGACGGAGCAACGCCGCGUGAGUGAUGAAGGUCUUCGGGUCGUAAAGCUCUUUUGUUGGGAAAGAAAAGAAGUAUAAGAAACCAUGGAUGUCUUGACGGUACCUAAUGAGAAAGCACCGGCUAACUACGUG
rnacentral:rRNA from 1 species